GACGGGACCCGCACAAGCAGCGGAGCGUGUGGUUUAAUUCGAUGCUACACGAAGAACCUUACCAAGGUUUGACAUGUAAGUGGUAGUGAUCUGAAAAGUGAACGACCCUUCGGGGAGCUUACACAGGUGCUGCAUGGCUGUCGUCAGCUCGUGUCGUGAGAUGUUCGGUUAAGUCCGCUAACGAGCGCAACCCUCACUGUGUGUUACAUGUGUCACACGGGACUGCCGGUUUUAAGCCGGAGGAAGGCGAGGAUGACGUCAAGUCAGCAUGGCCCUUACGUCCGGGGCUACACACGUGCUACAAUGGCCGGUACAAAGGGUUGCGAAGCCGUGAGGUGGAGCGAAUCUCAAAAAGCCGGCCUCAGUUCGGAUUGGAGGCUGCAACUCGCCUCCAUGAAGUCGGAAUCGCUAGUAACCGCAGAUCAGCUACGUUGCGGUGAAUACGUUCCCGGGCCUU
rnacentral:rRNA from 1 species